GCCGCGUGCAGGANGACUGCCCUAUGGGUUGUAAACUGCUUUUAUACAGGAAGAAACCGCUCUACGUGUAGAGCUCUGACGGUACUGUAAGAAUAAGGAUCGGCUAACUCCGUGCCAGCAGCCGCGGUAAUACGGAGGAUCCAAGCGUUAUCCGGAAUCAUUGGGUUUAAAGGGUCCGUAGGUGGAUAAUUAAGUCAGAGGUGAAAGUUUGCGGCUCAACCGUAAAAUUGCCUUUGAUACUGGUUAUCUUGAGUUAUUAUGAAGUAGUUAGAAUAUGUAGUGUAGCGGUGAAAUGCAUAGAUAUUACAUAGAAUACCAAUUGCGAAGGCAGAUUACUAAUAAUCAACUGACACUGAUGGACGAAAGCGUGGGGAGCGAACAGGAUUAGAUACCCUGGUAGUCCACUGCUGCCUCCCGUAGG
rnacentral:rRNA from 1 species